rnacentral:tRNA from 1 species
GCCCCGAUAUCCCAAUCGGUAGAGGACAUGGCCUCAAAAUCCAUAAAGUGUGGGUUCGAAUCCCACUCGGGGCA